AAAUUGUAGUAUGCAAAGAUUAUAUCACCAGAAAAAAGGACAUUGGUAAUACACACAUUGAAUCAAUAGAAAACUAUGCAUUGUAUCUUGAAGCCAAACUUGAAGGAAAAGGCAUAUAUGAUGUCACAUUCAAAUGUCGAAACGAUUUCUUAUUACAAGGACCAAACCAAGCACGAUGUCUUCCGAAUGGAAGCUGGAGUCGAGUAAUUCCUAGAUGUGUGGAACAAUGUAUUAACUUGGUCAACAUUAUUGAGAACAUCCAGGUG
rnacentral:lncRNA from 1 species